UUAGGAAUUUUGCGCAAUGGGAGAAAUCCUGACGCAGCAACGCCGCGUGGGUGAUGAAGGCCUUCGGGUUGUAAAGCCCUUUUAGUGGGGACGAAAUAAAUGACGGUACCCACAGAAAAAGCACCGGCCAACUCUGUGCCAGCAGCCGCGGUAAUACAGAGGGUGCAAGCGUUAUUCGGAAUUACUGGGCGUAAAGCGCAUGUAGGCGGUUCGGUAAGUCUGGUGUGAAAGCCCUCGACUCAAUCGGGGAAGUGCAUCGGAUACUGCCGGACUGGAGUACAGGAGAGGAGAACGGAAUUCCUGGUGUAGAGGUGGAAUUCGUAGAUAUCAGGAGGAACAACGGCGGCGAAGGCGGUUCUCUGGACUGUAACUGACACUGAGGCACGAAAGCGUGGGGAGCAAACA
rnacentral:rRNA from 1 species